UCGAGAACUAAAUCGUCAACGUCGACAGCUUCCUUCUCUUGAAAUCAAUGAGAUUGAUGAACAACAACAUGAUGUAAAAACUAGCUUAGCCUAAAUGAGAGGCUCGAGGAUUCGUUACCUAAAUCUCCAAGCUUCCUGGAGAAUGGAGGCCGUCGUCGAUGCCGAUUUCAGGGAAAUGAAAAUGAACGCUUGCGUUUUCAUGAGAGCAAAAAGAGGUAGGGUGACGAUUUGAUGAUCAUAUAAUCCAUUAGAAGGAGAGGAAAAGAGAAAUAGGAAACGUCAUUGACGAUCCGAAUUUGAGAAAAUAAGGGAUUUCGAUCUUGGAGGAGGGGAAUUUUUGUGUCCUAGAAUAAGGUAAGUCUCGCCGGCGAUGGAAGCUGCCUGGAGUAGAUGAUGAUGACGUCUUCAAAUGCAAGAAAGGGAGGGUCAGUGUUGAGAUUGAAACACUUGACCUCCAUGUCGUGGGUCCGAGUACUUAGUCGCUAAGUCAUAAUCAAUUUUAUGAUUCAAGUUCUCUUGGUGCAUAUAAGUGCUUAUUGGGUAGCUGAAUUAUCUC
rnacentral:lncRNA from 1 species